rnacentral:rRNA from 1 species
AUUGAACGCUGGCGGAAUGCUUUACACAUGCAAGUCGAACGGCAGCACGGACUUCGGUCUGGUGGCGAGUGGCGAACGGGUGAGUAAUACAUCGGAACGUGCCCAGUCGUGGGGGAUAACGUAGCGAAAGCUACGCUAAUACCGCAUACGAUCUAAGGAUGAAAGCGGGGGAUCGCAAGACCUCGCGCGAUUGGAGCGGCCGAUGGCAGAUUAGGUAGUUGGGGGGGUAAAGGCUCACCAAGCCGACGAUCUGUAGCUGGUCUGAGAGGACGACCAGCCACACUGGGACGGAGACACGGCCCAGACUCCUACGGGAGGCAGCAGUGGGGAAUUUUGGACAAUGGGCGCAAGCCUGAUCCAGCCAUUCCGCGUGCAGGAUGAAGGCCCUCGGGUUGUAAACUGCUUUUGUACGGAACGAAAAGGCUCUGGUUAAUACCCGGGGCUCAUGACGGUACCGUAAGAAUAAGCACCGGCUAACUACGUGCCAGCCGCCGCAGUAA